rnacentral:rRNA from 1 species
AACGAACGCUGGCGGCAUGCCUAACACAUGCAAGUCAAACGAGACCUUCGGGUCUAGUGGCGCACGGGUGCGUAACGCGUGGGAACCUGCCCUUAGGUUCGGAAUAACUCCCCGAAAAGGGUUCUAAUACCGGAUAAUGUCUUCGGACCAAAGAUUUAUCGCCUUUGGAUGGGCCCGCGUUGGAUUAGCUAGUUGGUAGGGUAAAAGCCUACCAAGGCGACGAUCCAUAGCUGGUCUGAGAGGAUGAUCAGCCACACUGGGACUGAGACACGGCCCAGACUCCUACGGGAGGCAGCAGUGGGGAAUAUUGGACAAUGGGCGAAAGCCUGAUCCAGCAAUGCCGCGUGAGUGAUGAAGGCCUUAGGGUUGUAAAGCUCUUUUACCCGGGAUGAUAAUGACAGUACCGGGAGAAUAAGCUCCGGCUAGCUCCGUG